rnacentral:rRNA from 1 species
UACGGAGGGGGCUAGCGUUGCUCGGAAUCACUGGGCGUAAAGCGCACGUAGGCGGCUUUCUAAGUCAGGGGUGAAAUCCUGGAGCUCAACUCCAGAACUGCCUUUGAUACUGGAGAGCUAGAGUCCGGAAGAGGUGAGUGGAACUGCGAGUGUAGAGGUGAAAUUCGUAGAUAUUCGCAAGAACACCAGUGGCGAAGGCGGCUCACUGGUCCGGUACUGACGCUGAGGUGCGAAAGCGUGGGGAGCAAACAGG